rnacentral:rRNA from 1 species
AGGGGACCCCGAGUGCGAGGGCAUAUAGUCCUCGCUUUUCUGGACUGUAGGGAGGUCCAAGAAUAAGGGCUGGGCAAGACCGGUGCCAGCCGUCGCGGUAAUACCGGCAGCCCGAGUGAUGGCCGAUUUUAUUGGGCCUAAAGCGUCCGUAGCCGGCCAGACGGGUCCGUCGGGAAAUCUGCACGCCCAACGAGCAGGCGUCCGGCGGAAACCAGCUGGCUUGGGGCCGGAAGACCCAGGGGGUACGUCCGGGGUAGGAGUGAAAUCCUGUAAUCCCGGACGGACCGCCGGUGGCGAAAGCGCCCUGGGAGGACGGUCCCGACGGUGAGGGACGAAAGCCAAGGUCACGAACCGGAUUAGAUACCCGGGUAGUCUUGGCCGUAAACGAUGUCCGCUCGGUGUGGCGCAGGCUACGAGCCUGCGCUGUGCCACAGCGAAGGCGCUAGGCGGACCGCCUGGGAAGUACGUCUGCAAGGAUGAAACUUAAAGGAAUUGGCGGG